CCUUUCGUGGUGUAGUGGUCAGCACGUUUGACGCAAAACCGAGAGGUCCAUGGUUCGAGUCCUGGCGAGGGCA
rnacentral:tRNA from 1 species